UAGACCUGUCUGGAAUAGUUCACAAACUAGGUUAAAGCCAAUAGUGCAUUUAAGUGUUAAUUCAAUGGAACUUCAGAAUGUUCUUAAGCUUGUGUAGAUGUCAUUGUGAACAGAGCAGCUUUUCUAAAUUCUUAUCCAUCAAAGCGAAUUAAGAUGCAACAGGUUAAAAAAAAAUAAAAUCUGUUGUCGCUGAUAACCCAAUAUUCAGAGUCUGGGCAGGUGAUACAAGCCAUGUGGCUGUUGUUCUCAUGUGUGUGAAAUCUUCCUUGGUUGCAAAGGAAGAAGUACAGAGUAAAAACAACAGUAAGAAUAUUAAAUUCUCAGUCUGGCCCUAUCUUUGCAGUGUGUGUGUUGACUCAGUGAAGCACCGUCCCCCUGCUUCCCUCCAGGAUAAGAGUAUGACUGACUUUAAUUGACUUCCAAGUUGUUUUUAUCUUUAGUGUACAUGCAACUGUAGUGAGUUCUCUUGUUCAAGAUGUGCUGGUUACAUGAGUGAAUUCUGCUCAGAAUCUGUCUUCUUUUCAGGGAACAAGAGAGCGCCAUUCUCCCUGUACCUCCAGCGUGCAGCCCUGUCCUAGAGAGGUGUCGGGAACUUAGUCACCGGCUUCUGAAGUGGUCAGCAAAUAUUGGAUGAAUUUGUUUUCUUAAGAAGUAGAACAGUAACGGCCAGAUCACAGUGUGCUGCCUGGCUAGAUACAAGCUCUAGCUUAUCAAAGACUGUGGAAUUUGGAGGCAGCACCCAAGACCAGCAUCCUGGUGCUCCUGUUUACAUCCAUGCAGAAUGGAAGGUUACCAGCACUGAACAGAAAUGCCUGUCAUUUUGUGUUCGUAUGAAAGCUAGUCCCAGAAACCAAACCGAGCUGUAAGGAAGAUGUUGUGAUCUUCAGAAGGUUGGAGACGAUCUAUUACAUGUGCAAGUGGCCAGUAUUUCUGUCCACCAAUUCCUAUUACCAAGCAGACUUGACUAGAGAAAUGAGGCCUGGUUCCAGUCUUCAGCUUAUAAUCCAGAGUUCAUACCUUCUGUGCAGCAUCGUCAGGCCACAGCAAAACAAGCAGUGACUCGGGGCACUGUUUGUGGAGUUCUGUUCUAAAAGCUGAAACUGUAUUCGGAUUAGUAUAGGCAGGUCAUGUAAAUAGAGGUAACUCUACCAGGGAUAUUUAAAGGCUCCUCUAUACCUGUCAGCUACUCAAAAUAGGUGUAAUUUGUACCUCAUUUGAAUUGUCACCAGAAGCCUCGUGUAUGUUCAUAAGAAGUACAGGAAAUGGUAGGCUAUGUCUGUGCAGCCUUAUGUCCAAUAGCAGUACAUGUUCCUCCUAGCUGUGGCGGCUGGCACAGUAGCUUAUAGGAAUAGUAGGAGAAAUGCGUAUCUUUCCCUGGAAUGUGAAUUGAAUCUACAGUUAUUCUGGAGACUUUGACUUCUUUUCUCUUCUUCAAAUAUUUUUGAAGGGGAAUUAUACUUACACCUUUCUGCUACGCAGCAUUUCCUUAGAUUAAAAUUAGAAUUGCUAAGAUACCAUGGAAAAUGUUAUUCUAGCCUAAAUGUUUGUA